GCGGCUUCUCCUUUGCCUUGGACGUGGGGUGUCUGUUUUUGGUGAUCUGGGGUGCUGGCGAGCGCGAGACAGACCCGAGGGGAGAGGCCCCCGCACGUCCUCCAGUCCCGUCUUCCUCAGCCUGUGGGCCGGCCGCCUCUCGGAAUCUUUCCAGAGGGAGUCUCGGUGGCCUCUGCCCUCCAGCCCAAGGGACAGCUUGGUUCCAACAUCCUCCUCUCGGUUGUUCAGCAGCGAGUUGCGAUUUUGGAGUUCUUGCAGGAGACGCUGGGUGCACGUCCUUCUUCUCCGCUGUCUUGACUUCUGUUGAGCUGGGGUGCUGGCUAGCGCGGAGGUUCAAGGCCGAGGUGCGUGGACCGAAGCGGCUGGGAUUCUCAGGACACCAGCCUUGCUGGUGGAGGUUCCACUGCGGUUGGAGCCUUCUCCCCCUGCCCUUUAUAUGACAAUAAAAGGGGCUGUAAACCCUG
ensembl:lncRNA